CGAAAGUGUACCUAGGGUUCCGAAGGCUGAAGCCUUGUCUGGUCCAAGCGGUACGAGUAUUCUUUACUGAAUAUGACACCUUAGGGAAAAAAGCCCAGGGGGU
rnacentral:sRNA from 1 species